CAUGCAAGUCUUGGGAGAAAGAGGUAGCAAUAUCUUAAGUAAACCGGCGCAAGGGUGAGUAACACGUAGGUAACCUACCCAGAGGAUGGGAAUAACUUCGAGAAAUCGAGGCUAAUGCCCAAUAAUAUUCUAAUGCGACAUCGCAAUGGAAUCAAAGCCGAAAGGUACCUGUGGAUGAGCCUGCGUCCCAUUAGGUAGUUGGUGAGGUAAUGGCCCACCAAGCCGACGAUGGGUAGCUGGUCUGAGAGGACGAUCAGCCACACUGGAACUGAGACACGGUCCAGACUCCUACGGGAGGCAGCAGUGAGGAAUAUUGCGCAAUGCCCGAAAGGGUGACGCAGCGACGCCGCGUGGAGGAUGAAGGCUCUAUGGGUCGUAAACUCCUUUUAUAAGGGAAUAAUAUCUUAUUAUAUAUAGGAU
rnacentral:rRNA from 1 species